UGGGGAAUAUUGCACAAUGGGCGCAAGCCCGAUGCAGCAACGCCGCGUGAACGAUGAAGGUCUUCGGAUCGUAAAGUUCUGUUGCAGGGGAAGAUAAUGACGGUACCCUGUGAGGAAGCCCCGGCUAACUACGUGCCAGCAGCCGCGGUAAUACGUAGGGGGCUAGCGUUAUCCGGAUUUACUGGGCGUAAAGGGUGCGUAGGUGGUCUUUCAAGUCGGUGGUUAAAGGCUACGGCUCAACCGUAGUUAGCCUCCGAAACUGGAAGACUUGAGUGCAGGAGAGGAAAGUGGAAUUCCCAGUGUGGCGGUGAAAGGCGUAGAUAUUGGGAGGAACGCCAGGAGCGAAGGCGGCUUGCUGGACUGCAACUAACACUGAGGCACGAAAGCGUGGGUAGCAAACAGG
rnacentral:rRNA from 1 species